rnacentral:rRNA from 1 species
CCUACGGGAGGCAGCAGUAGGGAAUCUUUCACAAUGGGCGAAAGCCUGAUGGAGCAACGCCGCGUGCAGGAUGAAGGCCUUCGGGUUGUAAACUGCUUUUAUAAGCGAGAAAUAUGAUGGUAACUUAUGAAUAAGGAUCGGCUAACUACGUGCCAGCAGCCGCGGUCAUACGUAGGAUCCGAGCAUUAUCCGGAGUUACUGGGUGUAAAGAGUUGCGUAGGUGGCAUAAUAAGUAGCUAGUGAAAUCUGGUGGCUCAACCAUUCAGACUAUUAGCUAAACUGUUAAGCUCGAGACCGUGAGGGGUAACUGGAAUUUCUAGUGUAGGAGUGAAAUCCGUAGAUAUUAGAAGGAACACCAAUAGCGUAGGCAGGUUGCUGGGACGGUACUGACGCUAAGGCACGAAAGCGUAGGGAGCAAACGGGAUUAGAUACCCCAGUAGUC